rnacentral:rRNA from 2 species
CGAACUCUGGUAUUGAUUGGUGCUUGCAUCAUGAUUUACAUUUGAGUGAGUGGCGAACUGGUGAGUAACACGUGGGAAACCUGCCCAGAAGCGGGGGAUAACACCUGGAAACAGAUGCUAAUACCGCAUAACAACUUGGACCGCAUGGUCCGAGCUUGAAAGAUGGCUUCGGCUAUCACUUUUGGAUGGUCCCGCGGCGUAUUAGCUAGAUGGUGGGGUAACGGCUCACCAUGGCAAUGAUACGUAGCCGACCUGAGAGGGUAAUCGGCCACAUUGGGACUGAGACACGGCCCAAACUCCUACGGGAGGCAGCAGUAGGGAAUCUUCCACAAUGGACGAAAGUCUGAUGGAGCAACGCCGCGUGAGUGAAGAAGGGUUUCGGCUCGUAAAACUCUGUUGUUAAAGAAGAACAUAUCUGAGAGUAACUGUUCAGGUAUUGACGGUAUUUAACCAGAAAGCCACGGCUAACUACGUGCCAGCAGCCGCGGUAAUACGUAGGUGGCAAGCGUUGUCCGGAUUUAUUGGGCGUAAAGCGAGCGCAGGCGGUUUUUUAAGUCUGAUGUGAAAGCCUUCGGCUCAACCGAAGAAGUGCAUCGGAAACUGGGAAACUUGAGUGCAGAAGAGGACAGUGGAACUCCAUGUGUAGCGGUGAAAUGCGUAGAUAUAUGGAAGAACACCAGUGGCGAAGGCGGCUGUCUGGUCUGUAACUGACGCUGAGGCUCGAAAGUAUGGGUAGCAAACAGGAUUAGAUACCCUGGUAGUCCAUACCGUAAACGAUGAAUGCUAAGUGUUGGAGGGUUUCCGCCCUUCAGUGCUGCAGCUAACGCAUUAAGCAUUCCGCCUGGGGAGUACGGCCGCAAGGCUGAAACUCAAAGGAAUUGACGGGGCCCGCACAAGCGGUGGAGCAUGUGGUUUAAUUCGAAGCUACGCGAAGAACCUUACCAGGUCUUGACAUACUAUGCAAAUCUA